rnacentral:rRNA from 1 species
GACGAACGCUGGCGGCGUGCUUAACACAUGCAAGUCGAACGGAAAGGCCCUGCUUUUGUGGGGUGCUCGAGUGGCGAACGGGUGAGUAACACGUGAGUAACCUGCCCUUGACUUUGGGAUAACUUCAGGAAACUGGGGCUAAUACCGGAUAGGAGCUCCUGCUGCAUGGUGGGGGUUGGAAAGUUUCGGCGGUUGGGGAUGGACUCGCGGCUUAUCAGCUUGUUGGUGGGGUAGUGGCUUACCAAGGCUUUGACGGGUAGCCGGCCUGGGAGGGUGACCGGCCACAGUGGGACUGAGAUACGGCCCAGACUCCUACGGGAGGCAGCAGUGGGGAAUAGUGCACAAUGGGCGGAAGCCUGAUGCAGCAACGCCGCGUGCGGGAUGACGGCCUUCGGGUUGUAAACCGCUUUCGCCUGUGACGAAGCGUGAGUGACGGUAAUGGGUAAAGAAGCACCGGCUAACUACGU